UAAACAAUAAAUAUUUUAUUUAACAAAGGAAGUUAUGACACGAGCGGGUAAAACAAAGGAUACUUCAGAUUAUAAUGUUAUUUCACUUCAGUGCUUUCUCAGUUGUUGCAUAGCUGUUACCGCUUAAUACUUUGGUUCUUAAACAAGGUGGUAUUUUCUGUCAGUUACACACCGCAUAGACAACCCUACUCCUGAGGUACUCAAAGUAACAGACUCAAGGUUUCACUGGUUUGGAAGUCUUUUUCUAGAAGAAUCUCUCCCCUCCUGGCUGGAAUGAGACCUAAGGAGACUGUCUCUUUACAGCUUCUACUUCUCCUGUCUCAGCCUCAGCCUCCCAGUUAAUUCCUGGCCUAAUCACUCUGACAGGACACCACACACUGUCCUUCACACUAAGCUCAGGGACUCCUUUCUCUAGCUUGUGAAGUUUUUGUAAAUAAAGUUAUUUUUUAUCAGAUUUAAUACUACCCCUUUCUUUUGUUCUGCAACCACACAAGAAAGAGGGGGGGGGGACACUUUAAAAGAAAUAAUAAGGGAAGAAGUCUGAUGGGAGGGAAGAACAGGUGGCUUCAGGAGGUAGAAUCAUAGAAUCAUAGAGUUGGAAGAGACCACAAGGGCCAUCGAGUCCAACCCCCUGCCAAGCAGGAAACACCAUCAGAGCACUCCUGACAUAUGGUUGUCAAGCCUCUGCUUAAAGACCUCCAAAGAAGGAGACUCCACCACACUCCUUGGCAGCAAAUUCCACUGUCGAACAGCUCUUACUGUCAGGAAGUUCUUCCUAAUGUUUAGGUGGAAUCUUCUUUCUUGUAGUUUGGAUCCAUUGCUCCGUGUCCGCUUCUCUGGAGCAGCAGAAAACAACCUUUCUCCCUCUAUGUGACAUCCUUUUCUAUAUUUGAACAUGGCUAUCAUAUCACCCCUUAACCUCCUCUUCUCCAGGCUAAACAUGCCCAGCUCCCUUAGCCGUUCCUCAUAAGGCAUCGUUUCCAGGCCUUUCACCAUUUUGGUUGCCCUCCUCUGGACACGUUCCAGUUUGUCAGUGUCCUGUGCCCAGAACUGGACACAGUACUCCAGGUGAGGUCUGACCAGAGCAGAAUACAGUGGCACUAUUACUUCCCUUGGUCUAGAUGCUAUACUCCUAUUGAUGCAGCCCAGAAUUGCAUUGGCUUUUUUAGCUGCCGCGUCACACUGUUGGCUCAUGUCAAGUUUGUGGUCAACCAAGACUCCUAGAUCCUUUUCACAUGUACUGCUCUCAAUCCAGGUGUCACCCAUCUUGUAUUUGUGCCUCUCAUUUUUUUUGCCCAAGUGCAAUACUUUACAUUUCUCCCUGUUAAAAUUCAUCUUGUUUGUUUUUGCCCAGUUCUCUAAUCUGUCAAGGUCGUUUG